UACGUAGGGUGCAAGCGUUUGUCCGGAAUUAUUGGGCGUAAAGAGCUCGUAGGCGGUUCGUCGCGUCGGCUGUGAAAUCCCGAGGCUCAACCUCGGGUCUGCAGUCGAUACGGGCGGACUGGAGUUCGGCAGGGGAGACUGGAAUUCCUGGUGUAGCGGUGAAAUGCGCAGAUAUCUGGAGGAACACCGGUGGCGAAGGCGGCAUCCUGGACCAACACUGACGCUGAGGAGCGAAAGCCA
rnacentral:rRNA from 1 species